GCAAGUCGAGCGAACGGACGAGAAGCUUGCUUCUCUGAUGCUAGCGGCGGACGGGUGAGUAACACGUGGAUAACCUACCUAUAAGACUGGGAUAACUUCGGGAAACCGGAGCUAAUACCGGAUAAUAUUUUGAACCGCAUGGUUCAAAAGUGAAAGACGGUCUUGCUGUCACUUAUAGAUGGAUCCGCGCUGCAUUAGCUAGUUGGUAAGGUAACGGCUUACCAAGGCAACGAUGCAUAGCCGACCUGAGAGGGUGAUCGGCCACACUGGAACUGAGACACGGUCCAGACUCCUACGGGAGGCAGCAGUAGGGAAUCUUCCGCAAUGGGCGAAAGCCUGACGGAGCAACGCCGCGUGAGUGAUGAAGGUCCUCGGAUCGUAAAACUCUGUUAUUAGGGAAGAACAUAUGUGUAAGUAACUGUGCACAUCUUGACGGUACCUAAUCAGAAAGCCACGGCUAACUACGUGCCAGCAGCCGCGGUAAUACGUAGGUGGCAAGCGUUAUCCGGAAUUAUUGGGCGUAAAGCGCGCGUAGGCGGUUUUUUAAGUCUGAUGUGAAAGCCCACGGCUCAACCGUGGAGGGUCAUUGGAAACUGGAAAACUUGAGUGCAGAAGAGGGAAGUGGAAUUCCAUGUGUAGCGGUGAGAUGCGCAGAGAUAUGGAGGAACACCAGUGGCGAAGGCGACUUUCUGGUCUGUAACUGACGCUGAUGUGCGGAAG
rnacentral:rRNA from 1 species